AUUUAAUUAAUAUAAUUUUCUGAAUUUUUGCUGUUGUUCCGACGCUAAGAAAAGGCAUGCAUGUAUCUUUUUUACACGUAACUAUAAUCAAUAUUUUUUUUUUUAUUAUUGUAAUUUACCAGUGUUAAACGUACAACUAAAUAUUCAAGAAUACGUACUGGUGUAUUAUUAACCCAUAGAUAUUAAAAGAAAUAUAGUUAUUACAAUAAUUUAAUACGUAAUUAUUAGUCAAAUUAUGUGUCACUUAUUAAAUAAUAUAUAUAAUAAUCUAAGUACCUAACCAUAGAUUUGAAGGGCUAAUAUAAACUAGCUAGCUAUGGAUAUAUCCGAUUCCAGUCUGUCAUGGAAGUGUAGACGACAGAAAUGAUGUGAAAAGAAUUUGGUGAAGAUGCACAUCACACGUUAUAAUAUAUGUAUUAUUGUUAUUGUCAAA